GGAGUUAGCCGGUGCUUCUUCUGUGAGUGAUGUCCUUCCUGCCGGUUAUUGACCCGCAGGCCUUCUUCCUCACUGAAAGUGCUUUACAACCCGAAGGCCUUCUUCACACACGCGGCAUGGCUGGAUCAGGGUUGCCCCCAUUGUCCAAUAUUCCCCACUGCUGCCUCCCGUAGGAGUCUGGGCCGUGUCUCAGUCCCAGUGUGGCUGAUCAUCCUCUCAGACCAGCUACGGAUCGUCGCCUUGGUGAGCCGUUACCUCACCAACCAGCUAAUCCGACAUAGGCUCAUCCGAUAGCGCGAGGCCCGAAGGUCCCCCGCUUUCCCCCGUAGGGCGUAUGCGGUAUUAGCCUGGGUUUCCCCAGGUUAUCCCCCACUACCGGGCAGAUUCCUAUGCAUUACUCACCCGUCCGCCGCUCGCCACCAGGGAGCAAGCUCCCCGUGCUGCCGCUCGACUUGCAUGUGUUAGGCCUGCCGCCAGCGUUCAAUCUGAGCCAGAAUCAAACUCUGA
rnacentral:rRNA from 1 species